CCAAUAGCGUAUAUUAAAGUUGUUGCAGUUAAAAAGCUCGUAGUUGAAUUUCGGGGUCUGUCCAUUGGUCGGGCUUUACGGUCCGUACUGGUGUGAUAGGUUCCUACCUUCUGAAUAACCGGCAUGCCAUUCAGUUGGUGCGCCGGGGAAGCAGAGCUAUUACCUUGAAAAAAUUAGAGUGCUUAAAGCAGGCUAUUGCUUGAAUAGAUUAGCAUGGAAUAAUAAAAUAGGACGGCAUGGUUCUAUUUUGUUGGUUUCUAGGAUCACCGUAAUGAUUAAUAGGGAUAGUUGGGGGCAUUAGUAUUCAAUUGUCAGAGGUGAAAUUCUUGGAUUUAUUGAAGACUAACUUCUGCGAAAGCAUUUGCCAAGGAUGUUUUCAUUAAUCAAGAACGAAAGUUAGGGGAUCGAAGACGAUCAGAUACCGUCGUAGUCUUAACCAUAAACUAUGCCGACUAGGGAUCGGACGAUGUUAAUUUUUUAAUGACUCGUUCGGCGCCUUACG
rnacentral:rRNA from 1 species